rnacentral:rRNA from 1 species
GACGAACGCUGGCGGCGUGCGUAAAACAUGCAAGUCGAACGGUGAAGGGUGCUUGCACCUGGAUCAGUGGCGCACGGGUGCGUAACACGUGAGCAACCUGCCGCGCGGUGGGGGAUACCGGCUCGAAAGGGCCGUUAAUACCGCAUAGUGCGCGGAUCUCGCCUGGGAUCCGCGGGAACGGGCUUCGGCCCGCCGCGCGAGGGGCUCGCGGCCUAUCAGCUUGUUGGGGCGGUAACGGCGCACCAAGGCGACGACGGGUAGCCGGCCUGGGAGGGUGACCGGCCACACUGGGACUGGGACACGGCCCAGACUCCUACGGGGGGCAGCAGUUGGGAAUCUUGCGCAAUGGGCGAAAGCCUGACGCAGCGACGCCGCGUGCGGGAUGACGGUCUUCGGAUUGUAAACCGCUUUUCUCGGGGACGACUUUCGACGGUACCCGAGGAAUAAGCCCCGGCUAACUCCGUGCCAGCAGCCGCAGUAAUAC